rnacentral:SRP_RNA from 1 species
UACCAGCCGGGGGAGUAGCGGGUCCUUGAACUCGAAAUCCGCUGUAGCGAGGGUUGAUUCCUGGUUUGAGGGCGUUGUGGGCAUAGUCUGAGCUUCACGGAAGGCGAUGACGAAUGGGUCUUGUGCGAUUGGCGGCUGUGAACCAUGUCAGGUGGGGAACCAAGCAGCAUUAAGCAGUUUAGUUGAUGCGCCGCAAGGUAGCCUGUUCUGAGCCGGAAACUGCAGUG